rnacentral:rRNA from 1 species
CCUACGGGAGGCAGCAGUAGGGAAUCUUCCGCAAUGGACGAAAGUCUGACGGAGCAACGCCGCGUGAACGAAGAAGGCCUUCGGGUCGUAAAGUUCUGUUGUUAGGGAAGAACAAGUACCAGAGUAACUGCUGGUACCUUGACGGUACCUAACCAGAAAGCCACGGCUAACUACGUGCCAGCAGCCGCGGUAAUACGUAGGUGGCAAGCGUUGUCCGGAAUUAUUGGGCGUAAAGCGCGCGCAGGUGGUUCCUUAAGUCUGAUGUGAAAGCCCACGGCUCAACCGUGGAGGGUCAUUGGAAACUGGGGAACUUGAGUGCAGAAGAGGAAAGUGGAAUUCCAAGUGUAGCGGUGAAAUGCGUAGAGAUUUGGAGGAACACCAGUGGCGAAGGCGACUUUCUGGUCUGUAACUGACACUGAGGCGCGAAAGCGUGGGGAGCAAACAGGAUUAGAUACCCUGGUAGUCCACGCCGUAAACGAUGAGUGCUAAGUGUUAGAGGGUUUCCGCCCUUUAGUGCUGCNGCUACGACAUAAGUACACUCCGCCGUCGGGAGGUACGGCCGCGAGGCGUGAACGUACGAAGGAAAGUUAGUACGGCGUGAGACGUGCCGACGGACGACGACGAGGGAGGAGG